AAUGGGUGGUAAAUUUCAUCUAAGCUAAAUACCGGCUGGAGACCGAUAGCGCACAAGUAGAGUGAUCGAAAGAUGAAAAGCACUUUGGAAAGAGAGUUAAAAAGCACGUGAAAUUGUUGAAAGGGAAGCGCUUGCGACCAGACCUGCCCGGGGGCGAUCAGCCGCCGUUCUCGGUGGUGCACUCGCCCGCGAUCAGGCCAGCAUCGGUUUGGGCGGCCGGACAAAGGCCGUGGGAAUGUAGCUCCCUUCGGGGAGUCUUAUAGCCCGCGGCGCAAUGCGACCAGCCCGGAUCGAGGACCGCGCUUCGGCUAGGAUGCUGGCGUAAUGGUUGCAAGCGACCCGUCUUGAAACACGGACCAAGGAGUCUAACAUCUAUGCGAGUGUUUGGGUGUCAAACCCAUGCGCGUAAUGAAAGUGAACGGAGGUGAGAACCCGUCAGGGCGCAUCAUCGACCGAUCCUGAUGUCUUCGGAUGGAUUUGAGUACGAGCAUAGCUGUUGGGACCCGAAAGAUGGUGAACUAUGCCUGAAUAGGGUGAAGCCAGAGGAAACUCUGGUGGAGGCUCGCAGCGGU
rnacentral:rRNA from 1 species